rnacentral:rRNA from 1 species
UCAGGAUGAACGCUAGCGGCAGGCCUAACACAUGCAAGUCGAGGGGUAACAUAAAGUGCUUGCACUUUGAUGACGACCGGCGCACGGGUGCGCACCGCGUAUGAAACCUACCUUAUACAGGGGAAUAGCCUUUGGAAACGAAGAUUAAUGCCCCAUAGUACCUUUUGUAGCAUUGCAAGAUGGUUAAAGACUUCGGUCGGUAUAAGAUGGUCAUGCGUCCCAUUAGUUAGUUGGUGAGGUAACGGCUUACCAAGACAGCGAUGGGUAGGGGCCCUGAGAGGGGGAUCCCCCACACUGGUACUGAGACACGGACCAGACUCCUACGGGAGGCAGCAGUGAGGAAUAUUGGACAAUGGAGGAGACUCUGAUCCAGCCAUGCCGCGUGCAGGAAGAAUGCCCUAUGGGUAGUAAACUGCUUUUAUACGGGAAGAAAAAAGGCUACGUGUAGCCUACUGACGGUACCGUAAGAAUAAGGACCGGCUAACUCCGUGCCAGCAGCCGCGGUAAUACGGAGGGUCCGAGCGUUAUCCGGAAUUAUUGGGUUUAAAGGGUCCGUAGGCGGGUCGAUAAGUCAGAGGUGAAAGUUUGCAGCUCAACUGUAAAAUUGCCUUUGAUACUGUCGGUCUUGAGUUAUAGUGAAGUUGCCGGAAUAUGUAGUGUAGCGGUGAAAUGCAUAGAUAUUACAUAGAACACCGAUUGCGAAGGCAGGUGACUAACUAUAUACUGACGCUGAUGGACGAAAGCGUGGGGAGCGAACAGGAUUAGAUACCCUGGUAGUCCACGCCGUAAACGAUGGAUACUAGCUGUCCGGAGUCUUGAACUCUGGGCGGCCAAGCGAAAGUGAUAA